rnacentral:rRNA from 1 species
AGUCGAACGAACUCUGGUAUUGAUUGGUGCUUGCAUCAUGAUUUACAUUUGAGUGAGUGGCGAACUGGUGAGAAACACGUGGGAAACCUGCCCAGAAACGGGGGAUAACACCUGGAAACAGAUGCUUAUACCGCAUAACAACUUGGACCGCAUGGUCCCAGUUUGAAAGAUGGCUUCGGCUAUCACUUUUGGAUGGUCCCGCGGCGUAUUAGCUAUAUGGUGGGGUAACGGCUCACCAUGGCUAUGAUCCAUUGCCCACCUUAAGUGGCACUCCUCCCCAUUGUCACUGAG